AUUACAAACCGGCUGCAACUACGUAGAUUCAAGAAAAAUGUCAUCACAAAUUUAUACAGUGGUUAUGAUUCUAGCAUCAUUAGGGUCCGUAACAAAACAAGCCCCAAGUUCUUCUGGAAAUACCGAUGCGAAUUGCCCCCCUAAACCUGUGACGAUUGUGUCCGUGUUUCCGAACGGAACAAAAAAAUCGAUUUCUCUAGGAUCCUCUUCGGAGUGCUCAUGCAAUGAAAGUGACGGUACUAGUUGGAAAGCCUCAGAAGGGACAGCCC